rnacentral:rRNA from 1 species
CUACGGGUUGCUGCAGUGAGGAAUAUUGGUCAAUGGGCGAGAGCCUGAACCAGCCAUCCCGCGUGCAGGAUGACGGCCCUAUGGGUUGUAAACUGCUUUUCCAUACCAAGAAACCUGAUUACGUGUAAUUAGUUGCCGGUAGUAUGGGAAUAAGCAUCGGCUAACUCCGUGGCCAGCAGCCGCGGUAAUACGGAGGAUGCAAGCGUUAUCCGGAUUCAUUGGGUUUAAAGGGUGCGCAGGUGGGCUUGUAAGUCAGUGGUGAAAUGUUGCCGCUUAACGGUAAAAUUGCCAUUGAUACUGCAAGUCUUGAAUAUAGUUGAGGUAGGCGGAAUGUGUUGUGUAGCGGUGAGAUGCAUAGAUAUGACACAGAACACCGAUUGCGAAGGCAGCUUACUAAGCUAUUAUUGACGCUGAGGCACGAAAGCGUGGGGAUCGAACAGGAUUAGAUACCCGUGUAGUC